UAAGUUCUAUACUGGGUAAUAAAAAAUUUUGAAAAUUUUUUAAAAGUGUUCGAUUCACUUAUGAAUUUAG
rnacentral:tRNA from 1 species